rnacentral:rRNA from 1 species
UGCAAACUGCGAAUACCGGAGAAUGUUAUCACGGGAGACACACGGCGGGUGCUAACGUCCGUCGUGAAGAGGGAAACAACCCAGACCGCCAGCUAAGGUCCCAAAGUCAUGGUUAAGUGGGAAACGAUGUGGGAAGGCCCAGACAGCCAGGAUGUUGGCUUAGAAGCAGCCAUCAUUUAAAGAAAGCGUAAUAGCUCACUGGUCGAGUCGGCCUGCGCGGAAGAUGUAACGGGGCUAAACCAUGCACCGAAGCUGCGGCAGCGACACUAUGUGUUGUUGGGUAGGGGAGCGUUCUGUAAGCCUGUGAAGGUGGCCUGUGAGGGUUGCUGGAGGUAUCAGAAGUGCGAAUGCUGACAUAAGUAACGAUAAAGCGGGUGAAAAGCCCGCUCGCCGGAAGACCAAGGGUUCCUGUCCAACGUUAAUCGGGGCAGGGUGAGUCGACCCCUAAGGCGAGGCCGAAAGGCGUAGUCGAUGGGAAACAGGUUAAUAUUCCUGUACUUGGUGUUACUGCGAAGGGGGGACGGAGAAGGCUAUGUUGGCCGGGCGACGGUUGUCCCGGUUUAAGCGUGUAGGCUGGUUUUCCAGGCAAAUCCGGAAAACCAAGGCUGAGGCGUGAUGACGAGGCACUACGGUGCUGAAGUGACAAAUGCCCUGCUUCCAGGAAAAGCCUCUAAGCAUCAGGUAACAUCAAAUCGUACCCCAAACCGACACAGGUGGUCAGGUAGAGAAUACCAAGGCGCUUGAGAGAACUCGGGUGAAGGAACUAGGCAAAAUGGUGCCGUAACUUCGGGAGAAGGCACGCUGAUAUGUAGGUGAAGCGACUUGCUCGUGGAGCUGAAAUCAGUCGAAGAUACCAGCUGGCUGCAACUGUUUAUUAAAAACACAGCACUGUGCAAACACGAAAGUGGACGUAUACGGUGUGACGCCUGCCCGGUGCCGGAAGGUUAAUUGAUGGGGUUAGCGGUAACGCGAAGCUCUUGAUCGAAGCCCCGGUAAACGGCGGCCGUAACUAUAACGGUCCUAAGGUAGCGAAAUUCCUUGUCGGGUAAGUUCCGACCUGCACGAAUGGCGUAAUGAUGGCCAGGCUGUCUCCACCCGAGACUCAGUGAAAUUGAACUCGCUGUGAAGAUGCAGUGUACCCGCGGCAAGACGGAAAGACCCCGUGAACCUUUACUAUAGCUUGACACUGAACAUUGAGCCUUGAUGUGUAGGAUAGGUGGGAGGCUUUGAAGUGUGGACGCCAGUCUGCAUGGAGCCGACCUUGAAAUACCACCCUUUAAUGUUUGAUGUUCUAACGUUGGCCCGUAAUCCGGGUUGCGGACAGUGUCUGGUGGGUAGUUUGACUGGGGCGGUCUCCUCCUAAAGAGUAACGGAGGAGCACGAAGGUUGGCUAAUCCUGGUCGGACAUCAGGAGGUUAGUGCAAUGGCAUAAGCCAGCUUGACUGCGAGCGUGACGGCGCGAGCAGGUGCGAAAGCAGGUCAUAGUGAUCCGGUGGUUCUGAAUGGAAGGGCCAUCGCUCAACGGAUAAAAGGUACUCCGGGGAUAACAGGCUGAUACCGCCCAAGAGUUCAUAUCGACGGCGGUGUUUGGCACCUCGAUGUCGGCUCAUCACAUCCUGGGGCUGAAGUAGGUCCCAAGGGUAUGGCUGUUCGCCAUUUAAAGUGGUACGCGAGCUGGGUUUAGAACGUCGUGAGACAGUUCGGUCCCUAUCUGCCGUGGGCGCUGGAGAACUGAGGGGGGCUGCUCCUAGUACGAGAGGACCGGAGUGGACGCAUCACUGGUGUUCGGGUUGUCAUGCCAAUGGCACUGCCCGGUAGCUAAAUGCGGAAGAGAUAAGUGCUGAAAGCAUCUAAGCACGAAACUUGCCCCGAGAUGAGUUCUCCCUGAGACUUAGAGUCUCCUGAAGGAACGUUGAAGACGACGACGUUGAUAGGCCGGGUGUGUAAGCGCAGCGAUGCGUUGAGCUAACCGGUACUAAUGAACCGUGAGGCUUAACCUU